rnacentral:tRNA from 1 species
GGGGUUAUAGCUCAGUGGUAGAGUGUGUGCUUAGCAUGCAAAGGUCCUGGGUUCAGUCCCCAGUAUUUGCA